rnacentral:rRNA from 1 species
AGGGAAACCGAGUCUUAAUUGGGCGUUAAGUUGCAGGGUAUAGACCCGAAACCCGGUGAUCUAGCCAUGGGCAGGUUGAAGGUUGGGUAACACUAACUGGAGGACCGAACCGACUAAUGUUGAAAAAUUAGCGGAUGACUUGUGGCUGGGGGUGAAAGGCCAAUCAAACCGGGAGAUAGCUGGUUCUCCCCGAAAGCUAUUUAGGUAGCGCCUCGUGAACUCAUCUCCGGGGGUAGAGCACUGUUUCGGCUAGGGGGCCAUCCCGGCUUACCAACCCGAUGCAAACUGCGAAUACCGGAGAAUGUUAUCACGGGAGACACACGGCGGGUGCUAACGUCCGUCGUGAAGAGGGAAACAACCCAGACCGCCAGCUAAGGUCCCAAAGUCAUGGUUAAGUGGGAAACGAUGUGGGAAGGCACAGACAGCCAGGAUGUUGGCUUAGAAGCAGCCAUCAUUUAAAGAAAGCGUAAUAGCUCACUGGUCGAGUCGGCCUGCGCGGAAGAUGUAACGGGGCUAAACCAUGCACCGAAGCUGCGGCAGCGACACUAUGUGUUGUUGGGUAGGGGAGCGUUCUGUAAGCCGCUGAAGGUGUGCUGUGAGGCAUGCUGGAGGUAUCAGAAGUGCGAAUGCUGACAUAAGUAACGAUAAAGCGGGUGAAAAGCCCGCUCGCCGGAAGACCAAGGGUUCCUGUCCAACGUUAAUCGGGGCAGGGUGAGUCGACCCCUAAGGCGAGGCUGAAAAGCGUAGUCGAUGGGAAACAGGUUAAUAUUCCUGUACUUGGUGUUACUGCGAAGGGGGGACGGAGAAGGCUAGGUUAUCCGGGCGACGGUUGUCCCGGUUUAAGCGUGCAGGUGUGAAGACCAGGCAAAUCCGGUCUUCUUUAACACUGAGGCGUGACGACGAGCCGCCACGGCGGUGAAGUAACUGAUGCCCUGCUUCCAGGAAAAGCCUCUAAGCUCCAGGUAACACGAAAUCGUACCCCAAACCGACACAGGUGGUCAGGUAGAGAAUACCAAGGCGCUUGAGAGAACUCGGGUGAAGGAACUAGGCAAAAUGGUGCCGUAACUUCGGGAGAAGGCACGCUGGCGCGUAGGUGAAGGGACUUGCUCCCGGAGCCGAGGCCAGUCGAAGAUACCAGCUGGCUGCAACUGUUUAUUAAAAACACAGCACUGUGCAAACACGAAAGUGGACGUAUACGGUGUGACGCCUGCCCGGUGCCGGAAGGUUAAUUGAUGGGGUUAUCCGCAAGGAGAAGCUCUUGAUCGAAGCCCCGGUAAACGGCGGCCGUAACUAUAACGGUCCUAAGGUAGCGAAAUUCCUUGUCGGGUAAGUUCCGACCUGCACGAAUGGCGUAAUGAUGGCCAGGCUGUCUCCACCCGAGACUCAGUGAAAUUGAAAUCGCUGUGAAGAUGCAGUGUACCCGCGGCAAGACGGAAAGACCCCGUGAACCUUUACUAUAGCUUGACACUGAACAUUGAGCCUUGAUGUGUAGGAUAGGUGGGAGGCUUUGAAGCGUGGACGCCAGUCUGCGUGGAGCCAACCUUGAAAUACCACCCUUUAAUGUUUGAUGUUCUAACGUAGGCCCGUGAUCCGGGCUGCGGACAGUGUCUGGUGGGUAGUUUGACUGGGGCGGUCUCCUCCCAAAGCGUAACGGAGGAGCACGAAGGUUGGCUAAUCCUGGUCGGACAUCAGGAGGUUAGUGCAAUGGCAUAAGCCAGCUUGACUGCGAGAGUGACGGCUCGAGCAGGUGCGAAAGCAGGUCAUAGUGAUCCGGUGGUUCUGAAUGGAAGGGCCAUCGCUCAACGGAUAAAAGGUACUCCGGGGAUAACAGGCUGAUACCGCCCAAGAGUUCAUAUCGACGGCGGUGUUUGGCACCUCGAUGUCGGCUCAUCACAUCCUGGGGCUGAAGUAGGUCCCAAGGGUACGGCUGUUCGCCGUUUAAAGUGGUACGCGAGCUGGGUUUAGAACGUCGUGAGACAGUUCGGUCCCUAUCUGCCGUGGGCGCUGGAGAAUUGAGGGGGGUUGCUCCUAGUACGAGAGGACCGGAGUGAACGCACCGCUGGUGUUCGGGUUGUCAUGCCAAUGGCACUGCCCGGUAGCUAAGUGCGGAAGAGAUAAGUGCUGAAAGCAUCUAAGCACGAAACUUGCCCCGAGAUGAGUUCUCCCUGACCC